rnacentral:rRNA from 1 species
UACGUAGGGUGCGAGCGUUAAUCGGAAUUACUGGGCGUAAAGCGUGCGCAGGCGGUUUUGUAAGACAGAUGUGAAAUCCCCGGGCUUAACCUGGGAACUGCAUUUGUGACUGUAAGACUAGAGUGCGGCAGAGGGGGGUAGAAUUCCACGUGUAGCAGUGAAAUGCGUAGAUAUGUGGAGGAAUACCGAUGGCGAAGGCAGCCCCCUGGUCCGGUACUGACGCUGAGGUGCGAAAGCGUGGGGAGCAAACAGG